rnacentral:lncRNA from 1 species
AUAUUAAAAUAUUCAUAAUAGUUCCAACAAAACAGUAAAAUAUCCAUAGUUAAGUAGUAGAGUGUUACGCCUGCGUGGCUGCUAUAAAUGGCCACUUGAACACAAACACAGUACUAAGUUUACUAAAUAGCUAGCUAGCUCCAUAAGUCCAGUACAUGAGUGCAGUCAAGCACCAACCGCUUUAUCACAACUUCAUGAAGCUCUGCCCAAAUCACUUGCUUCCCUGCUUGUACCAUUAAUGUAACUCUAGUACCGUCAGAAAGGUUGACAAGUGUGAGGCUCCAAUACACAACACAUUUAGUGCCCGUCUGCUAAUGACUCCGAGAACAAAGGAACAUAGGAAAGAUAAGGCAACCUGGAAUUCCAUGGAAGAUCACAUAUGAAAUGCAGCUCCCCAGAAUCCAUUUCAUAUGAAUAUAAUUUUUUCAGUGAUCCGCAUCUCGAUAUAAAUUCUUUGAUUAUGAAUAUCACAUUGUGUUCUGGGUGAGCUGAGAUAACACCGUAAUAUUGCCCAGAGCUUGAAUAGUCUAUUCCAAACAGUCGCAAGUAGCUGAUAUUGAGCUUCAGGGUCCAACAAUUUUCACUACUAGAAUCUUCAAGAACCCAGAAAGACAGUUCAGAAGCACCUUGAAUUGUGAGAUACAAUUGUCCCCGUGAUACAUAGACAUUAGGACCACCAGGAUCAUCAUGUGAAGUGGGAAUAGGAAUGAUCCUACAAGUUCCCUCCAGGUCGACGGCUGCAACUGAAUUAUUAUCAGAACAUAAAUACAAUACUCCGCUCAAGAACGCGCCACCUGAUAAGUAGAGUAUCUCAAUUGGAUCGUCCAAAACAAUUGGGUGUGUCCAGACUCCAACUUUGGAAGAGUAGAUCCCCACCGCUUCAAUGCUAUAAUCAUCCCUCUUAUACCAAGUCCAAGCAAGGGCAGGUACCAACUCGAACACAUAGAAAUGUGAGGAGACGGCCGGGUCAAAUCCAAGGCAAGCGCCGUUCACCAACCAGGACCACUUGGUGGCCGGCACGGUUACCCAUUUCUCUGUGGCCGGAUUGCACACCACGUAAUCCAGCGUCCUGGGGUCAUCCAGUGUCUCUGGGACAGACGACUUCCGGCCUCAGGCAGAGGAGGAGGCCGUUGCAGCCAUCCAAGAUUUGAAGGCUCUCGUAUUCGGGCAGGAACGAGAGGGAGGCGUCAUGAGGGCACCAGUUCCCUGAGACGCUUAGGUAACCAUGAGAAAGAUAUUUAUGGUCGCCCGUGGCGGAGGUUGUGUGGAAGAAGCCGGCGAGGGUCGACCGGGGAAGCUUGUCGCGGUGGUCGGGGUGGGAGAUGAGGUCCCGCCAGCGCGUGGAGACGCACUUGCAGCAGCAGGUGGACUUGUACGGCACGCGGGAGAUGACCUCGACAAGGAGGUCGUCGGGGACCUUGAUGGUCGGAUCGCUCAUGAGGGCCGCCUCCAUGGAUCCCGUCGCCAUCUCCGGGGAGGAAACGAGCGGCCAAUCUGCAGAUCGGGGCGGAGGAGGAGAAAUUAGGGAUUCAUCGAUCCCGGCCGCGAGGGGAGCGUGGGGGAAGAGAGGGCCUACCAGAUGUGUGAGGCGUGAACUGCAAAGUGAGGAUCGGCGAGAGCGCCGCCGCUGGGUGCUCCCAUCCGCGCCGGCCGGUGAGGGUUUGGUUUGGGUGCGGGGCGAGAUUUUUCUUUUCUUUUUGGAGCACAGCUGCGGGGCGAGAUGGAUGGAUAGUUGGAUACUGAGGAAGUGGAACCGGCAGGCACUUAUCUGGCAUUUUUUCCUCGGCUCAGAGCAUCUCCAACAGCCGCGCUAAACAAGCACCGUGCCGCAAAUUUGGUCAUUUUAGCACGCGCGCAAUCGGUUGAGUGGCUCCAGUCAAAAAUGCUAGACAUACGGAGUCUUACAGGCAAUUACGGGCUCCUUCUAAACUAACUAAAUAUGCCCCUCCCCACUGAUUUUCAGGUGGGUGGGCCCGCGUCCCCCUAACCUUCAAUUAAAAACUGACUAAUCACCAUGUAACACUUCCCAGCCCGUAAUCGUUUGUUGAUGUAGCAAAGCUCGGCUCCAGCGGGCGCUCAAUAACGCGCGCGGCAAUAUAGAAUUAGGCGCGCGGUCCAAAUCGCCAACGCGCGCUGUGUAUUUGGGAUGCCCGCUUCCGCGCGCGGCACAGACGAGCGCUCGCGCCGCACUCUCUUCUUCGCGCCACCUUCGCCCCGCGUGCGCCUGCGCCGGCGAACUGGACCCAAUGGACGCACGCACCGGCACCCCCCUCACCCCAUCCUACAGCCAUGACCCCUCCACCGCCGCCGCCGCCGCAAACCCUAGCGCGGGGAGCGUUGGCCUCGCCUCCGCCGGAGCUCCUCCGAGCAUCGGCCUCGCGCGCGGCCUCUUCAUGCCGCCGCAGAUGACCUCGGCAGCGGGUGGCGUCGCACCGGCGCCGACCCGUGCCCCCGCCCCCUCGAAGCUCCCAAAUGCAGCGCGGCCGAAGAAGGGCAAGACAUCCACGAAGAAGAACAAGGCGGCGGAUGGCUCCGGCACCUCGAAGGCGUCGAGGAAGAAGCUUACAGGGCGUGUGACGGGCGCGGCGGCUACCGAAGCGCCGGCGAGCUCACUUGUUGAGCCGGCGGCCGACGCGCACAAUGUGUUCGACGAUAUGCCUCAAAGGUAGAAAAAUUCCCAAACUUUUUUUUCUUGUUAUUUUUUAAAUGCAUACAUAUAGAUAGCUUGUUGCAUUGUUCUAUAUACUUUGUAGUCCCAAUGGUGAUGCAUACAUGUCAACUAUGGGUGUUGGCUCCAACAAUUCGCAUUGGUCUCAAACCAAUGACAUGCACUUCGAUGACCAUGAGUUCGAGGUGGACGAGGAUGGUGAGGGCAUUGUCGACGCACCUAAAGGAAGAGCAGGCAAUUACACCAACGUCGAAGAUAUCUUACUAUGCAAUACUUGGUUGCAAGUGUCGAGAGAUCCAUCCGUUGGAGGUGAUCAAAGUAGAGAUGCUUAUUGGAACCGGAUGAAGGAACACUUUGAUGUUCGCAACGUGAGUGGAAUUGACCGCUCCGACCGAUCUCUUCGGUCCCGGUGGUCGACAAUCAACAAGGAUUGUCAAAAGUGGGCGGCCGCACAAAAAGCGAUUGACAAGUUGAACCCAAGUGGCGCUAAUGAGGACGAUAGAGUAAGUGUCAUUUCAUCCAUGUUCAUCAUACUUGUUGUUGGUGUUUGAAUGCUAACUUGUUUUGUUUUCAUUUAGUACAACAUUGCACAAAACUUGUUCAAAGGAGAGGAGAAGAGGAUCAAGAAGGGGAAGAUCAAGAAAGGAAGACCAUUUACCUUGCCUCAUUGCUAUGACGUGUUAAAGGAUGAUGAGAAAUGGAAGAAGCAUGACGAUUUGGAUGAUUUGGAUUUGAGCAACAAACGCAAGCGAACAAUUGAGUUGGAUGAUGAUGAGGAGGAGGAUGCAUCAAGUGAUGACGGCAAGAGAAGCCCCACACCCAACUCGGUUUCAUACUCGAAGCCAAAACAACCGGAUGGGUGCAAGAAAGACGCAAAAGAAAAGAAGAGGAGGAAAGGAGAUGAUGAGCUCAAAAAUGCUAUGGAAGCUAUUGUGAAGGCAAGGAAAGAAGACAACGAGGUGAGGAAAAUGGCAAGGAACCAAGAUGCCGCGAUCGAGGAGAGGAGGUUGGCGGCCGAGGAGAGGAGGGUGGCGGCCGAGGAAAGGAAGGUGGCUUUGGAGGAGAGGAAGGUGAGCAAUGAGGAGCGAACGAGAUUGUUGGAAUGGGAGAAGCAUUCGUUCUUCUUGGACACAUCUAUCCUCAAUGAGGCGCAAAAGGAGUGGGUCAAUCUUGCCCGUGAAGAAGUCUUGAUCCAAAAAAGAGCCAUGAUUCGUGCAAUGGGUGGCGGUGGCCUUGGCGCCAUGGGAGGCAUGGGUGGCUUCGGAGCCACCAUGGGCGGCAUGGGUGCCAUGGGUGGCUUUGGAGUACCCCCGACGCCAUGGCCGGCAUGGGAGGCAUGAAUUUUGUGUCUCUCAUAGAAGGCAUGGAAGAGGGCUACUCCUUAAUUAAGAGCAUGGGACAAGAGAAGACCUAUAAUUCGUUGAUGGGGCUGGAGCACCUCAUCGGCAGGGUUCGAGGACAAGCUGCGGCUCUAGCGAUGUCGGUAGAUUGUUGGUCUUUCGACCACACCAUCGAAUCAUAUGGUUGACGGGCGACCAAUCUUCUUCGUAUCGGUCAAGAUGUCGAAAGGGCGACGACACAACGUCAUUUUUGGAGUCCAUGGUGUGCAAGUGGUCCCCGAGUAGUCCCCAACGAUGACGUGGUUAUUUUUAUGCGGCAGUUGUUUCUAUUUCUUAUAUUUGGUCGUCCAUGUAUAUGUCAAGGACUAGGCUAUAAUUGUUUUUUCGUUUGGGUCAUGUGAAGUUGUACUACCACGCCGCAAUGAGUCCUCCAGAAUCCUUCCACCGUAAAAAAAAAAUGUGUCAUCUCUAGACUUCUAGAGCGAACCAAUAUUUUGUUUGGGUCUGUCUAGAAUCCAGUUGACUAAGACUCAACCAAGUCCAGCCAACUAAGGUUGUGGUGCUACAAGCGGCACGGGUGGACGCUGCAAACUGAUGGGAUGACAUGUUGCAAACAUCGAUGACAGACGCUGCAAGACUUGCUACGAGCAAUGAUGAUACAUGUUGCGACCGGUGUGAUUACAUUCUGCAAGCGGUAAUGGCGGACUUGCGACUAGUGAGAUGAUAUGAUGCGAGCCACGAGGGCGGACGCUGGGACUGAUGAGACGAUAUGCUGCAAUCGAAAGAACUAAUCUAUUAGAACUUUGUUAUACGGCCAAUCCCUUGCUAGUGAUCUUUCACGAAUUGGAGGGGGGAAACCUAAAGAACACGAGGAACACGAGGGAAAUCACGAAGGGAACACAUAAAUCAACACACAUAGAUGCAGUAAAAGAUACACUUAGAUAGAUCCAUGAUCCAAAUCAUCCAAAGAGUGAGAUGGAACAAGAUAGUUCUUCCCCAAGUCCUAGGACAUGGAGGUCUUGUUUAUUCUAUGAUGGGAAUCUUUCUCCACAAGUGGAUCCUUCUCCACUCUCUCUCAAGAGAAUCCCACCAGGGGAGGUACAUGAGCUAAGCUAUAUGAUAUAAGAUCUAUUCUUAGCUAACCCUACAAAUGAUGUGGAGGUCUAUAGAUAGUGCUAGGGGAGAAGGGGUAAGUUAGGUGGGGAUACAAGGCCCAAGGCCCGUCAUGCACACAAGCAGGGACCGGACAAUCCGGGUGACUGCCCGGACGAUCUGGGCAUCUUUCGGAUGAUCCGUGUGGAGUUUCGGAUGAUCCGACUUCACGUGAGGCCUUCGGGUGUCUUCUAUUGCUGUAGCCCGGAUGAUCCGUGUGGUCCCCCGAAUGGUCUGGCUUCGUGAUGACUCUUCGGGGGUAUUCGGCCGCCGUAGUCUGAUGAUCAGGGAGGGCAUCCAGAUGAUCCGACUGUUUCCUGGAUGUCCGGGAGGAGGUCCGGACGUCCGGCCUGGCUCCAACAACCACUCCAUCUUCUUCUCCUUUCUUGCGUCUUCUCUUCCAUGUUGCCUUCUUGGAUGGUGUAAUCGUACUCUUGCGCUUGCACUCCUCCUCGUCAUCCGUGAAGCUCCGACAAUACUUAUGUAUGCACAUGAGAAAAAUGUCAAAUAGUAUACCAUACUCGAAGGGGUCAAGUGAACACAUAUAAAGGAGAUGAUUCACCUUUAUGCACAUGAAGUAGAUACCGCACCCGCACAUGUCACUUGCCAAACAAACUCUAGACAUGGUGAUGUCCGUAGGAUGCUCGGCAUCAAACUUGCAGCUAGAGAACCACGCUUUGAGGUCAGCGAUGGUGACACGGAGAUAAUCAGACCAGGAAGGCGAAAAAGCCCUUGCAUUGAAACAACAGUUAAUAUAUCAGAAAACCUUCACACUAUAUCGUGUUAAACUACCAUUAUAUUAAUAUAUCACACUUUCAGCUGAAAAUGAAAAUACAUCACAGAAAUUGAAUAGCAAAGAGAACUGAAUCUUCAUGGCAAGUACUCCUCGAAUGCUCUAGAAUGCAACAGCAGUCUUUCCCAUUCCAGGUCCACCCAAACAACAAGAUAAGUUGCAUGCUAUAAAAGAUUAAAAACAAUAAUAUAACCAUUCAUGUACUGUCUGAAACACAUCCUGGUACUGGUAUGCCAUCAAAUUAUUCUCAAACAGAUAAAUAACAGAGAAUAUAUAAUCCAGAUAUGAAAAUAUUCAUAAUAGUUCCAACAAGACGGCCACAUAUCCAUGAUUAAGAAUAAAACUACACAAAUACACGCAGAAAGUGGACAGUUGUGAGGCUCCAAUA